GCAAGAAACAAAGUCAUGCUAGAAUGUACAGGUAACAGAGACAUGGACUUUUUAAGGUAACAGAGACAUGGACUUGAGAAGACAACUUGGCUCAAUUCCUAGCUCUGCAACUUACUUACUAGGUUUGUGUCUUUGGACUGCAUCCUAACAAACAACUGUGUCAAGACAUUUGAACAGCAUAUUCUACACAAAUAAAAAGGAAAUGAUAAAGAUAAAAGAAAUUAAUAGAAUGGAAAGUGAUGGAGAUAAACAAGUGAAAAGAUGGUCCUUUGAAAAGACUAAAACAUGGCCAAUGCACUGGCAAGAAUGAUUGGGACAAUAAACAAAAUAUAUAUGCCAGGGCAGCUCCCGGCGAGAUCGACGCAAAAGGAACCGACCUUUGAUCAUCCGCACGUGAGACUGCUCCCAGAAAGGGGGAACAAUGUUAAUUACCCACAGACUACGUUGGAUCCAGGCUUUCGGCAUUAUGUCUGUACUAAAUAAAAGCAAGCGCUGCAGCUUAUUAAAACUGCUCACUCUUUGGCAGUCCCCUAGCUGCUCUUACACUGCA
ensembl:lncRNA novel transcript